rnacentral:rRNA from 1 species
AAAGAGUCCCUCCCGACUGUUUACCAAAAACACAGCACUUUGCCAACUCGUAAGAGGAAGUAUAAGGUGUGACGCCUGCCCGGUGCUCGAAGGUUAAGAGGAUGCGUCAGUCGCAAGAUGAAGCGUUGAAUUGAAGCCCGAGUAAACGGCGGCCGUAACUAUAACGGUCCUAAGGUAGCGAAAUUCCUUGUCGGUUAAAUACCGACCUGCAUGAAUGGCGUAACGAGAUGGGAGCUGUCUCAACCAGAGAUUCAGUGAAAUUGUAGUGGAGGUGAAAAUUCCUCCUACCCGCGGCAAGACGGAAAGACCCCGUGGACCUUUACUACAACUUAGCACUGCUAAUGGGAAUAUCAUGCGCAGGAUAGGUGGGAGGCUUUGAAGUAAGGGCUUUGGCUCUUAUGGAGCCAUCCUUGAGAUACCACCCUUGAUGUUUCUGUUAGCUAACUGGCCUGUGUUAUCCACAGGCAGGACAAUGCUUGGUGGGUAGUUUGACUGGGGCGGUC